UGGUCGAUUUAUUUCACAAGCAUUAGGACGAAGUACACACUCUAAAGUGGGACAAGCCAUGAAAUCCUCAUUAUAACAAGAAUUCCUGAUAGAUAUACAUGUACAUGAUGACAUUAAUAUGAAUUGAACAGCCCAGUGUCAACAGUGUCACAAAAAGAGUACAUAUCUUUUUUGUAUAUGGCUGAAAGAAUUUCUUACAUUAAAUCUCUAGUUAAGAGAUACUGGAUACAAGUUCCAGUAAUGUAUACAUAAACUAUGAGAGUCAGUAGUUUGUAUGUUAGAUAUAGAGUGUACAAGUCAUGUGUAUAAAUCUCACUGACAGAUAUAUGAAAUGUUGUUUAGGGUGUAAACUAUGGACAUGCAUCUACAAAUAUAUCAUAUUUACAUAUUAUGUUCAUUGUGGACCUGAUGAUGUGUAUUACCGGUACAUUCAUCAUGUUUCAUGUGAGAUGUUAAAAGUGCUAGUUUGUUGAAUAUCAGUUAUCUCCCUUACUGUCAAUAAAUGAUUUGUUUUGUAGAUGUCUUUUUUACAGAGCUUUCUGAUGAUAUUUAGAUACUGUAUUUUAUUUGUAUAUAUUCAUUCUGCUAUGAUGUGAGAUAUUUGUUGAAGUGUCAUAUUUGUUGAUUAUUCACAGUAUUAAAUUUGUUUUCCAAAGAU
rnacentral:misc_RNA from 1 species